AGAGUUUGAUCCUGGCUCAGAUUGAACGCUGGCGGCAGGCCUAAGACAUGCAAGUCGAGCGGAAACGAGUUAUCUUAACCUUCGGGGAACGAUAACGGCGUCGAGCGGCGGACGGGUGAGUAAUGCCUAGGAAAUUGCCCUGAUGUGGGGGAUAACCAUUGGAAACGAUGGCUAAUACCGCAUGAUGCCUACGGGCCAAAGAGGGGGACCUUCGGGCCUCUCGCGUCAGGAUAUGCCUAGGUGGGAUUAGCUAGUUGGUGAGGUAAGGGCUCACCAAGGCGACGAUCCCUAGCUGGUCUGAGAGGAUGAUCAGCCACACUGGAACUGAGACACGGUCCAGACUCCUACGGGAGGCAGCAGUGGGGAAUAUUGCACAAUGGGCGCAAGCCUGAUGCAGCCAUGCCGCGUGUGUGAAGAAGGCCUUCGGGUUGUAAAGCACUUUCAGUCGUGAGGAAGGUAGUGUAGUUAAUAGCUGCAUUAUUUGACGUUAGCGACAGAAGAAGCACCGGCUAACUCCGUGCCAGCAGCCGCGGUAAUACGGAGGGUGCGAGCGUUAAUCGGAAUUACUGGGCGUAAAGCGCAUGCAGGUGGUUUGUUAAGUCAGAUGUGAAAGCCCGGGGCUCAACCUCGGAAUAGCAUUUGAAACCUGCAGACUAGAGUACUGUAGAGGGGGGUAGAAUUUCAGGUGUAGCGGUGAAAUGCGUAGAGAUCUGAAGGAAUACCGGUGGCGAAGGCGGCCCCCUGGACAGAUACUGACACUCAGAUGCGAAAGCGUGGGGAGCAAACAGGAUUAGAUACCCGGUAGUCCACGCCGUAAACGAUGUCUACUUGGAGGUUGUGGCCUUGAGCCGUGGCUUUCGGAGCUAACGCGUUAAGUAGACAGCCUGGGGAGUACGGUCGCAAGAUUAAAACUCAAAUGAAUUGACGGGGGCCCGCACAAGCGGUGGAGCAUGUGGUUUAAUUCGAUGCAACGCGAAGAACCUUACCUACUCUUGACAUCCAGAGAACUUUCCAG
rnacentral:rRNA from 1 species